UUUCCCUCUGGAGCAGUUGCGAGAAGAAACCCGCAAGCCCGUCUUUGACCAAGUGAGAGAUGGUCAACAACUCCACCCGAAUGUCGCACUUUCAUAUGUCUAUUUUACAAUUGGCUAUAUGCACGGUUACUUCCUGGUUUAGAUAAGCCAGCUCGGGCAUUUCCGGUCAACUGUCAUUCCUGAAACAAAUGUCAAAGAUGUUCUAUACUCGCUGCCCGCAGGAUCUACCUCGAGUCAACAUAAAUGAUGUACACCGCCUGAUUCAGUCAAAUUCAAAGACUUCAUCGAGCAAACAUGAAAAGGGAUUUAAGCUGUACAUAUCAAGCUAUAUCCAUGACUACGAAGGUAAGUUAGCAAAGUACGCUAUAAUUCUUUCGUUCUGUAAGCUAGCUAUAGACAGCUAACUUGGCUAACGUUGUUGAACGUAAGUUAGCUACUGUUAAGUUGAAAGACCAACGUUAGCUUAACGUUAGCAUUGGUAAACAGAAUAUAACCGCUAAGUUGGCAGCAUUUAGAUAUGUAGAUCUGUCUCCUGCUACUCUCCUUGACAUAACCAGGCUUGGGACUAGGAUAACAUUUUGUCUUGCUAUGUGGUCCUUCCUUAAUUCAUUGCCUCUGUUUCUCAGUUUCUGAUAAGAAUGUGGCAGGAGAGGUGUCUGUGAGAGUAGAGGCAGGUUGUUCUCAAAGACUAUUAACCUGUUGAGCUGUUGGCCUGUCAUUGCUGGGUUUGCACUAUGCAAUCAUGUUGUAGAUUUGCUCAAACAGACCUCACAUUACAGCCAGGAGGGAGUAACGGCUGUCCCCCUACUCACAGCUGCACAGGGUCUGAGCAGCAGUGGCAUAAACCUAGAACCCAGGGCUUUAAGCCUGGUCCAACAAAUGAGAUUGUGGUGUUGUCAGCUAGGCCCAAGGAGAGGAUUGGCUGAAGGGAUCAGGAGUAACUUGUACAACGGGCCUGUGACCAGACCUGUGACCUUCCAGACAUGUCAGUUCUGCGUGUGAAUGAGAUUAACCGAGGAAUGCCAAGGGAAACUGCUCCACCCACAACAACAAUGGGAAUAGCAUUUAUUGAAUUGUUUAUUCAAAGAAUAUUCAGAGAUGGGAGAGUCAUAAAAACAAUCAAACAAAAGGUUGAUUACUUUUACCUACCUAUGCUUUUGGCUUGAAAAUUUCCAUGGUUAACUUUCAAUCUGUUUUUUACAAAGUUCAAAUAGUUUGGUUUUCAUGUGUUCACUAUUGUCAUCUGCCACAAAUAUAUUCUAAUACAAUAAAAUUCUAGUAUACAAAUUAUGUUAUGUAGUUGAACAGGUCAUCAUUAAUUUAUUAAAAUUACAUAUUUUCCAAUAAAUGUUAUUUAUGUGAGUGUUUGAGGUUAUAACGUAUUAGUACCUAAAAUUAGUAUUAUUUAAAUGCUGUUUGUAAUGGUCACAAUAAAAUACACAAUGCUUUGGGGAGCCAAUUAAAAAGGCAGUUACAAACAAAUGUAGGUUUAUUCACUGGAAGCAUGAAACUGAAAAUGAGGGGAAAAUACAGAUCCCUGUAUGAAGUUGUAGAGAUGUAAAUCCAUUCUUUAUCAUUGAACAAAAGCAGUAGCUAACAACAGUAAAAUAGUUUAAAUACUAAACAGAACUGCGCACUGGUCUUGAUGCAUCUUUUUAGAGCAGGGGUUCUCAACCUUUUGCA